UUCGGAAUCUAAGCAGUCGCUGGCUCUUUUUUAAAAAAGAGCUGGAGGAAAGUCCGAACGCCCCUUGGCUUUUGCCAAGGAAGACGGCAGUGGCUAACGGCCACCCAAAUCAGCGCUUUUACAAAAAGCGCUGGUUACGAGAAACCAAAGCACAUACAUUCAUUGUAUGUGCUCGGCCAAAGCGCUAUUAAUAGCGCUUUGGGUGCCACAGAAACUAUACCGCCCCGAUCUCGUAUCGGAGUAAGGGUGAAAAGAGGUGGGCCCGCCUUCGCGCGGGAUACCCUCGCUUCGGCGAGGUAAAGUAAGAGCCCACAGGGUUAUUUGGCGACAAAUAAUCGUGGAAAACGCUUGCCUGGCGCAACCCCGAAAGGGGGCUUAACUUCAAUUGGCAACAAUUGUUGUAGAUAAAUGACUGCUCACGACAAAAUUCGGCUUAUUGAUUCCGGAAAGA
rnacentral:RNase_P_RNA from 2 species